UCCGGUUUGGCACCGGCAGUCUUCCUAGAGUCCCCGCCAUUACGCGCUGGCAACUAAGGACAAGGGUUGCGCUCGUUGCGGGACUUAACCCAACAUGUCACCACACGAGCUGACGACAGCCAUGCAGCACCUGUCUUCCGGUCGUAUUGCUACGAAAGCCGUAUCUCUACGGAUGUCCGGAGAUGUCAAACCCAGGUAAGGUUCUUCGCGUUGCUUCGAAUUAAACCACAUGAUCCACCGCUUGUGCGGGCCCCCGUCAAUUCCUUUGAGUUUUAGUCUUGCGACCGUACUUCCCAGGCGGGGUACUUAUUGCGUUAGCGCCGGUUCGGCGGGGGUCAACUCGGAGGAAGGUGGGGAUGACGUAUCCUCAUGCGUU
rnacentral:misc_RNA from 1 species